GAUGAACGCUGGCGGCGUGCCUAAUACAUGCAAGUCGAGCGAACAGACGAGGAGCUUGCUCCUCUGACGUUAGCGGCGGACGGGUGAGUAACACGUGGAUAACCUACCUAUAAGACUGGGAUAACUUCGGGAAACCGGAGCUAAUACCGGAUAAUAUAUUGAACCGCAUGGUUCAAUAGUGAAAGACGGUUUUGCUGUCACUUAUAGAUGGAUCCGCGCCGCAUUAGCUAGUUGGUAGGGUAACGGCUUACCAAGGCAACGAUGCGUAGCCGACCUGAGAGGGUGAUCGGCCACACUGGAACUGAGAACCGGUCCAGACUCCUACGGGAGGCAGCAGUAGGGAAUCUUCCGCCAUGGGCGAAAGCCUGACGGAGCAACGCCGCGUGAGUGAUGAAGGUCUUCGGAUCGGAAAACUCUGUUAUUAGGGAAGAACAAAUGUGUAAGUAACUAUGCACGUCUUGACGGUACCUAAUCAGAAAGCCACGGCUAACUACGUG
rnacentral:rRNA from 1 species